GUGAGGAAUAUUGCGCAAUGGAGGCAACUCUGACGCAGCCAUGCCGCGUGCAGGAAGAAGGCGCUACGCGUUGUAAACUGCUUUUAACCGGGAAGAAACCCCAGGACGUGUCCUGGGUUGACGGUACCGGAGGAAUAAGCACCGGCUAACUUCGUGCCAGCAGCCGCGGUAAUACGAAGGGUGCAAGCGUUAGCCGGAUUCAUUGGGUUUAAAGGGUGCGUAGGCGGAGCGUUAAGUCAGUGGUGAAAUCCUGCAGCUUAACUGUAGACUUGCCAUUGAUACUGGCGCUCUUGAGUGCGCUUGAAGUGGGCGGAAUGUGCCGUGUAGCGGUGAAAUGCUUAGAUAUGGCACAGAACACCAAUUGCGAAGGCAGCUCACUAAGGCGAUACUGACGCUGAGGCACGAAAGCGUGGGGAUCGAACAGGAUUAGAAACCCGGGUAGUCC
rnacentral:rRNA from 1 species